UACGGGGGGGGCAAGCGUUGUUCGGAAUUACUGGGCGUAAAGGGCUCGUAGGCGGCCAACUAAGUCGGAUGUGAAAUCCCCAGGCUUAACCUGGGAACUGCAUCCGAUACUGGAUGGCUUGAAUCCGGGAGAGGGAUGCAGAAUUCCAGGUGUAGCGGUGUAAUGCGUAGAUAUCUGGAGGAAUACCGGUGGCGAAGGCGGCAUCCUGGACCGGCAUUGACGCUGAGUGAGCGAAAGCCAGGGGAGCAAACGGG
rnacentral:rRNA from 1 species